rnacentral:tRNA from 1 species
CGGGGUAUAGCUCAGUGGCAGAGCGCGUGCUUAGCAUUCAUGAGGUCCUGGGGUUCAAUCCCCGGUACCUCCA